rnacentral:rRNA from 1 species
AUAAUCAGGGGGCAGGAAACAGGGGGGAGGCUCACAGUUUUGCAUAGCGUGCUUGCACAAUAGUAAACAUAUGAAUGCUAAGUGUUAGGGUUGUUUCCCCCCCUUUAGUGCUGCAGAGGUCGCAUUAAGCACUCAGCCUGGGGAGUAGGGUCGCAGAGACUUAAACUAAAGGGAAUUGAGGGGGCCCGCGCACAAGUGGUGGAGCAUGUGGUUUUAAUUCGAAGCUACGCAAAGAACCUUUCCAGGUCUUGACAUCCUCUGACAACCCUAGAGAUAGGGCAUUCCCUUCGGGGACAGAGUAACAGGUGGUGCAUGGUUGUCGUCAGCUCGUGUCGUGAGAUGUUGGGUUAAGUCCCGCAACGAGCGCAACCCUUGAUUUUAGUUGCCAGCAUUCAGUUGGGCACUCUAAGGUGACUGCCGGUGACAAACCGGAGGAAGGUGGGGAUGACGUCAAAUCAUCAUGCCCCUUAUGACCUGGGCUACACACGUGCUACAAUGGACAGAACAAAGGGCUGCGAGACCGCAAGGUUUAGCCAAUCCCACAAAUCUGUUCUCAGUUCGGAUCGCAGUCUGCAACUCGACUGCGUGAAGCUGGAAUCGCUAGUAAUCGCGGAUCAGCAUGCCGCGGUGAAUACGUUCCCGGGCCUUGUACACACCGCCCGUCACACCACGAGAGUUGCAACACCCGAAGUCGGUGAGGUAACCUUUAUGAGCCGCCGCCAUGGUCGGG